UCAGCAGAAGCCGAGCAGACAACCAGAGCUGCAAGAUGUCUGUGCUCCCUGGAAUAAUUGUCCUUGGUGGGACGAUCCUCAUGUGCCUGGUGUGCCUGCUUGCUAGUAGGAGGAAUAAUACCUGUUCAUUCUCCUACCGGAACACCAAUAAUGUAUAUGUGCAUCGGCCCCAAGUCAUCAUUGAAAACACAGUGUUCUCAAGUGGACAAGACCUUCCACUGGAUUGUUCAAGAGAGAUCCAGCCUUACAAGAAGGAAAACUAGAGACCAAAAUAAAUCCUCUUCCUUCUCGAUGGGUAUCAUCUGCUUCUUCCUUUCCUAAAAGACUGGGGGAGCUAUCUCUCAUAGUGAGUACAUUCAGUGGUGCAAGUGGCUCUCAGAAGUAGACUCAUGCCUUGCUUGUAUUAGGACUUUACUGAACCCAAAUACCACAAAAUUCUUUAGCUCAGCCCUGCUAGCCUUAACUGAGAAAGUGGAAAUUUAAGAUGGGAUCCGUGCAUUGUAUGGUGUCAACACCCAUGGCAUGGUUUAGUAUCAUACCAUAUGCUUGUUUUUCUGCCUGUGAACUUGUGAGAUAGAAAAACAGCUACCUAGUCAUCCAAUUUUACUGUUUUUAUUUUUAUUGGAUGUUUUGUGUACUUACAUUUCAAAUGUUAUCCACUUUCUCCCCUCUCCCAACCCCUUCCCCUGCUUCUCUGAAGAUGUUCCCACUCCCACCCAUCCACUCUCAAUGUUACUUGUUAUCAUUCAUUCACAUAAUAAAUUUGGACUGUGCAGUUG
rnacentral:lncRNA from 1 species